rnacentral:rRNA from 1 species
AUUGAACGCUGGCGGCAUGCUUUACACAUGCAAGUCGAACGGUAACACGCCUUCGGGUGCUGCCGCGUGGCGCACGGGUGUGUAAUGCAUCGGAACGUACCCAGAGGUGGGGGAUAACGCAGCGAAAGCUGUGCUAAUAUCGCAUGUGAUCUGAGGAUGAAAGCGGGGGACCGAGCAGCAAUUUUUGGCCUCGCGCCUUUGGAGCGGCCGAUGUCGGAUUAGCUAGUUGGUGGGGUAAAGGCCUACCAAGGCGACGAUCCGUAGCUGGUCUGAGAGGACGACCAGCCACACUGGGACUGAGACACGGCCCAGACUCCUACGGGAGGCAGCAGUGGGGAAUUUUGGACAAUGGGGGCAAGCCUGAUCCAGCAAUGCCGCGUGCGGGAAGAAGGCCUUCGGGUUGUAAACCGCUUUUGGCAGGAACGAAACGGUGUCGGCUAAUACCGGGCGCGAAUGACGGUACCGGAAGAAUAAGCACCGGCUAACUACGUG